rnacentral:rRNA from 1 species
UACAGAGGUCUCAAGCGUUGUUCGGAUUCAUUGGGCGUAAAGGGUGCGUAGGCGGCGCGGUAAGUCGGGUGUGAAAUCUCGGAGCUUAACUGGGAGGGCCGUGCGAAACUGCCGGGCUUGAGGUCGGAAGGGGAAAGUGGAAUUCCGGGUGUAGUGGUGGAAUACGUAGAUAUCCGGAGGAACACCAGCGGCGAAGGCGCUUUCUGGUCCGAUACUGACGCUGAGGUGCGAAAGCGUGGGGAGCGAUCCGG